AUUGAACGCUGGCGGCAUGCCUUACACAUGCAAGUCGAACGGCAGCACGGGAGCAAUCCUGGUGGCGAGUGGCGAACGGGUGAGUAAUAUAUCGGAACGUGCCCAGUCGUGGGGGAUAACGUAGCGAAAGCUACGCUAAUACCGCAUACGAUCUAUGGAUGAAAGCGGGGGAUCGCAAGACCUCGCGCGAUUGGAGCGGCCGAUAUCAGAUUAGGUAGUUGGUGAGGUAAAGGCUCGCCAAGCCGACGAUCUGUAGCUGGUCUGAGAGGACGACCAGCCANACUGGGACUGAGACA
rnacentral:rRNA from 1 species